UCCAUAUGCUGCAAUCUCUUGCCACACAGUGAGGAUCGGAACGUCUGUCUAGCUGAUCUUCUCAGAAGCAUCAGCAUUUUCAGAUCAGCAUUUUCCGAAUUUUUGCUUCUUUUGGCUAGCACUGGCAACACUAAGACCAAAAUUACUCUUCAGACUGAAGUUGGCAUUCCUUUCCAGGAAAACCCACAUUUUUAUCAAGUGUCCAUUUGGCUCCUUCAGAAUAUUUUUCCAUCUCUGAGAACAAGUAUGAUUGUGCAGUUAAUUCCUCAGUCCUAAAAGAGAUGUGUCAGCGUUGUGAGUUGUCCUUGGCUGCAGAAAAGUUCUCAAGGAGUUGAGAAUACCGAGUCUCGAGGAUUAGGAUCAAUUAGACCAUUGGUCUCUGCAACCACAGCACUGUCCUGAGCACAUGGUGGCAAUUAAAGGUCUGCCUGGUAAGAUCAAAGACUGGAAGACAGGAAAGGAGCAAGGAGAAAAAGAUCUUAUCAUCAAGACUGAAAGACCAAGGGCUCUUUUGUCUAAGAGGAAACCGAGAGGAAACAUCACAGUGGUCUUCAAACAGAAGAAAGGCUUUGCAAUGACAAAAAGAAUCCUUGCUGCCAUGACCUCUAUGUAAGGAGAAAAUGUAAUUGUAUCAAAUUACAGAAAGUGGAAAUUUAGGUUAAACGUUAGAACAGACGUUACAAUAGCAAGGAUAAUUGAGCACUGGAGGGGACUAUGAAAUAUCCACCAGAGAAGGUUUUAAAAAACAGGCUAGACAAGAACAGUCUGGAAAGAUAUGGCUACACCUGAAGCUGAGUAAUGGACUAAACGGUCCCUUAAAUUUCCUCUCAGUCCGAGACCUUGUGAUUCCACAUGGACUUAUGGCCUAUUCAUGCCCUCCGUUAUUUCCUGCAAGUAAAGCUAAACACCCAGAUCUAUUUAAUCUCUAUUCGAUAAUAAAACAACACAUAUUGCAAUUUUUCCUCCUGAUGAAAAACACAAGUGAGAAGCCUUGAUCUGUGUUUUGCACCAGCAGGUACCAACAAGUACCUUUCCUCUUGUUGCUCACCUGCAGCGUGCUACACAGUCCACUGCAUUUUUUGGCACAAAGACCUACGACCACUUUUUCCAGAAUGCCUCAUUUAGCUCCAAGUGGUCUAUAUUUGUUCCUGGCAUGAAACACAAGGUAAGCGACAGAGACAGCAGCAGAAUGGUCAACAAUUCAGCUGUUUUAUUAAUAACUAUACGAGUGUUUUAUCUUAUACAUUAUGCAACUGCACUUAUGACUGCAUAGCUUCAGUGACACCAGAAGAGAAAGGACAGCACAAUGCAAUGGCAAAAGAAGAAAAACAAGCAGUUCCUUGAAACAUGAUCAAAAGAUCUUGAUUUCAUGGUUGGGUUGCUGUUGUCUGAAGGGAUCCUUAUCAUACUGCACGUUACAUAAGCCAGCACUGGCAGCAGAAAACAGUGGACUAAAAAAGCACUUCCCAAAGAAGUGCUUUCAUACACUGAGUUUUCACAAAGAGUUCACAUAAAAAUUUGCAAAUAGAAAAAGCAUUUGGGGAGAAUGCAGACACCUACGUUCACAAGAACAAGCCAGAACAUCUCUGCCAUUCUUGCCUUGGUUCUUGAGAACCGCAGAGCACAGCUUUUUAAUGUCCUGGUGUUCAUUUUCUGGCUGGAGUUGUUUGCAAGCCAGACAGUCAGCAUUCAGAAGCUGUACCUCCUAAGUGCCUGGUUUGCUGGGCACACAUCUGUCUGUGCACCUUGCAUCACUGAUGGACUGUCGAGUGGCAUGAGCACAUACAGAAAAGGCCCAACUGACCACUUUUGAGACUCACCACAAAAUGAUUAUCUGUGAUGGAAGAAAUAUCAUUUUAGCCAGCUGUAAAAAGGAGCAAAGGGUAUUAUUGAACACGUGUGUUACUGGGAGAUGGAGGGAUUCAGCCACCACAGCUCAAAUCUUGGUGAAAACCCUGAGCUGCCUUCCACAGACCGCUUACAUCCACAUGUGUUUGAGAGAAACUGCCCCCAGUAGCUGCUGUCAUUUCCUUCGCAGUGAUUUUACCAUUUCCCAGGGAUAAUUAAAGGUCAAGAGCUUCUCUUGGAAUUUCAGCUGCAUCUCAAAUACACGGCCAAGAAACACUAGUAUAAAUUGGCCUGUAGCUUCAAGGAAUCUGAAUGAGUUCCUGUAAGAAAUAACCCUCCAGCGACAGAGCAUCUGGAACGCCUUUGUCCUCUUACCUGCAAAGCAGCAGGAACACGGUGUGCGAUUGGGCAACUGUUUUCACUGGACUGUGGCCUCCACAGCUAGAGGCACAUGUCUACACAGAUGAAAGGCCAAAGCCUGCGUCAAUACGCUGAUAGUCUCGCAUGACUCUCACCUAUCAUGUUUAUGAUACGCAACUGGGUCAAGUAGAGAGUGAGUUUCUCAUUGUCCAGUACGUGGUUUCCACAGAAGUUCUCAGAUUCUGGCCAUUUUUUUUCUGCCACAACUGUGGGGAAAAAAAAAAACAAAAAACAAACAAACCAAAAAAGCUCACUAAUUUUUGUUUAAAUACCACACACUUUUUUAACUUUUUGGUUUUUUUUACUUCAGAUAUAUUCUCCAAGGAUGAUGUGUGCAUCCCACUUUUAGCCAUAAUAACAUCUCCGUGACAUAGCACUUAUUGAAAAUGACAGCCUGACAGAUGGCAGGGCAAACCUUUUAAUCCCAGUUCUUGACAGUGUAGUAGGUUGCACAUCUGAUGCCAAAAAAUGUUUUUCUCAUCUAUUCAAAGCCAUGUGCUCCCUGAAGCUUCCAGACUCCUAAAACUACAAUGGAGGUGUCUUGUUGUAAAAAAUACCACAUACCCUCAGACGGUUAAUAAAAUGUCUUUGGAGUGAUACAUAUGGCGUAAUAUAGAACCUUAAUAGCUGAAGAGACAGACAGAAAGGAAGAGGGAAGGGGUGGAAGUGGAAGAAAAAGGGGGAGAAAUCGUCAAAAAGCUCCCUUCGCCCAACUGCCAGGAAACAGCAGCUGACCACUGUGAGAGGCCACAGGAGAAAAAAUGUUUCAUGGAACAUCCUUCAGGUCACCAACUGCCAGAAUUAGGAAAUCAGAAAAAUGACAUGCACAAGCAAUUUCUAUAAAUUAUUCACUACAAAGAAAACCACACAUUUUUCCCAGAUAACAAUAAUUAUGCCAAAUGGAAAAAAAAAAAAACAAA